UGUAAUUCAGCACUUCCUAUAUUUCACUGAAUGAAAGGAUAAACAGAGAAUCUGUCAAACCACUAGAGGAAACCCGCUUCCUAGGAGAUGGAGGGAGGUGUUUGCCAUGGAGGGCACUAUCGUCUUGCCCAAGAUUCCACUCUGCUUGGUCACCAGAACCACCACAGAGGAAAGCCAGAGUCAUCACUCUCAUAGAGAUAAGCAGAAGCUUCUUCACCAUCUUCAGAAGAUAACCUGAAGAAAAAUAAAACACGCAGUAGUAGGCUUUCCUAUUCCCUAAUUAAUAACCUUACAAUGACCUCCACGCAUCCAAGGGAAAAAGCUAAAAAUGAUGAAGCUUGUUGAGGAAGGCAUGUCAAAAACUGAGACAGCCUGAAAGCCAGGCCUCUUGCACCAAGCAAUUAGCCAAGUUGUGGAUGCAAAGGAAAAGUUCUUGAAGGAAAUGGAAAGUGCUACUGCAGUGCCCACACGAAUGACAAGAAGGUGAAACAGCCUUAUUGCUGAGAUGGAGAACGUUUGAGUGGUCUAGAUAGAAAAAGUCAAACGAGCCAUGACAUUCCCCUAAGCCAAAGACUAAUCCAGAGCAAGGUCCUAACUCUCUUCAAUUAUAUGAAGGGUGAGACAUGUGAGAAAGCUGUAGGAGAAAAUUAUGAAGGUAGGAGACAUUGGUUCAUGAGAUUUAGGGAAAGAAACCAUCUCUACACAUAAAAGUACAUGGUAAAGCAGCAAAUGCUGAUGCAGAAGCUGUAGCAAGUUAUCCAAAAGAUCUAGCUAAGAUUAUUGAUGAAAGUGGCUGAACAACACAUUUCCCAAUGAGGAUGAAACAACCUUCUAUUGGAAGAAGAUAUCAUCCACGACAUUCAUAGCUAGAGAGGAGAAGUCAAUGCCUGGCUUCAAGGCUUCAAAGCUUCAAAGGACAGGCCAACUCUCCAGUUAGGCGAUAAUGCAGCUGGUGACUUUAAUUGAAGCCAAUGCUCAUUUGCCAUUUAAAAAAUCCUUGGGCCCUUACAAAUUAUGCUGAGUCUACUCUGCCUGUGCUCUAUAAAUAAUACAAAGCCCAGAUGACAAUACAUCUGCUUACACCAUGUUUUACUGAACAUUCUAAGCCCACUGUUGAGAUCUGCUGCUCAGAAACAAAGACUCCUUUCAAAACAUGACUGCUUACUGACAAUGCACCUGGCCACCCAAGAAACUCUAAUGAGAUAUAAAAGGAGAUUAAUGUUGUUUUCAUGCCUGCUAAAACAAUAUUCAUUCUGCAACCCAUGGAUCAAGGAGUAAUUUUGACUUUCAAGUCUUAUUAUUUAAGAAAUACAUUUCAUUAGGGCUACAGCUACCAUAGGUAGUUAUUCUUCCAAUAAAUCUGGGGAAAGUAAAUUGAAAACCUUCUGGAAAGGAUUCACCAUUCUAGAUAUCAUUAAGAACAUUCAUGAUUCAUAGGAAGAGGUCAAAACAGCAACAUUAACAGGAGUUUGGAAAAAGUUGAUUCCAACCAGCUCUCAUGGAUGACUUUAAGGGGUCCAAGACUUCUUCGAGGAAGUAACUGCAGAUGUGAUGGAAACAGCAAGCAAACUAGAAUUCUAAGUGGAACCUGAAUACGUGACUAAAUUGCUGUAAUAUCAUAAUAAAACUUGAACAGAUGAGGAGUUACUUCUUAUGGAUGAGGAAAGAAAGGAGUUUCAUGAGAUGAAAUCUACUCCUGGUGAAGAUGCUGUGAAGAGUGUUGACAAUAAUGAAUUUAGAAUAUUACAUAAACUUAGUUGAUUAAGCAGCAGAAGGGUUUGAGAAGAUUGACUCCAAUUUUGAAAGAAGUUCUACUGUGGAUAAAAUGCUAUCAAAUAGCACCAUAUGCUACAAAGAAAUCUCUCAUGAAGAGUCUACAACACAAGAAGGAGCCAAACAAACCAACAAAUAUCAUAUGGUGCUAAAAGAAGGGAAAUUCAUAGAAGUAUGAGAGGUAAAAAAAAAAAAUUCCUGGAAAAGGUGUAUCUGAGCUUGGUCUUAAAGAAAGAAUAGACUGAGUUGUGGAAUGUAAAAUGGAGAGAGGAUAUUCAAAGCAGAGAAAACAAGAACAACAAGUAUAUGUGCAUUUCUUCAUUCAUUUAUUCCUAGAGGGACAGUAAAUCAUAAAGACUAAUGACAGUAAAUAAAGACAGAAAUAGUGACAGUAAAUAAAGAUUAGAACAGAACUAAAUGAAAUAGAAACUAGAAAGGCAAUAGAAACGAUCAAUGAAACUGAACAUUAGAUUCUGAAAAAUUAAACUGACAAACCUUUAGCUGGUCUAACUAAAGAAAAAAAUAAAGAAGCCUCAAAUAAGUAAAAUUGGAAAUGGAAGAGGACACAGUUCAACUGAUACUACAGAAAUAUAAAGAAUCAUAAGAGUCUACUAUAAUCAACAAUUAUACACCAACAAAUUGAAUAACCCAGAAGAAAUGAAUAAAUUCCUAGAUACAACCUAUCAAAACUGAAUUAUUAACAAAUAAUGAAAUAAUGAACAAGGAGACUGAAUCAGUAGUCAAAAAUCUUCCAUCAAAGAAAACCCCAGACCUGAUGACUCCACUGCUGAAUUGUAACAAACAUUUAAAGAAUACCAAUCCUCAAACUCUUCAAAAAAACUGAAAAGAAGAGAAUAUUUCCAAAGUUAUUUUAUGUGGCCAGCAUUACUCUCACACCAAAGCCAGACAAGGAGACUCCAAAAAGAAAGCGAAUUACAUCCAAUGUCCCUUAAACAUAGAUGCAAAAAUCUUCAACAAAAUACUAGCAAACCAAAUUCAACAGUGUUUUAAAAGGAUUAUCCCUGGAAUGCAAGGAUGGUUCAACAUUCACAAAUCAAUAAAUGUGAUAUACUACAUUAACAGAAUAAACGGCAAAAACCUUAUGAUCACAUCAACAGAUGCACAAAGGCAUUUGACAAAAAUCAACACUCAUGAUGAAAACACUUAACAAAUUAUGUAUAAAAUAAUUUAUCUCACCACAAUAAAAGGAAAAAUAUAACAAGUUCACAGCUAAUAUAAUAGUCAAUGGUAAAAAGCUAAGAUAAGGAACAAGACAAGAGUUCUCAUUCUCACCAUUUCUUUUAAACACAGAAGUAGAAAUCCUAGUUAGAGC
rnacentral:lncRNA from 10 species